CGUUCGUGUUAAAAAUGCAUUAGAAAAAAUUCUGAACUUUUUAGAUUUUCGAUUGUUUUACCAAUUUUAGCAUCAUAUGAACUCAUAUUAGAACUGAAUAUGGGUGGAAGUUCAAGCACCACACGUAAGGUCACUGUUGAAGAAAGUGAAGGAAAUGGAGUAGUGAAGAUAUCUGAAGAUGUAGUGAGGCGUCUAAAAGGAGAAUCUACUGUACCAGUAAUUGGUGAUAAAUCAGAGAGGUUGAGUGGGAUAGAGGUUCUCGACAGAAAGAAACAUGAUAAAGAGAUGAAAAACCUUCAGGCAUACUAUGAGGAAAGGCUUCAAUACUUGGAGCAAAUGAAUUCACAGUUAUACCAAACCACAACAGAUCAGUUUGCCAAAGCAGUGCAGGAGGUGGAACAGAAAUUCUUAAAACAGACAUCAUCUCCAGUGUGCCAGGAACUCCAGAGUGAAGUGGUAGCCUGCUACAAUGCCAACCCUAAACAAACCUUGCUAUGUUCUGCACAGAUCAAGGCUUUCACAGACUGCGUAGACAAAUAUAGACAGAAUAAAUUAACCAGGGGGAAUGGAGGUGUAUGAUAGCAGUUUUAUUAGGAUUAAUUGACAGUCAGGACCAUAUUCUAUAUAGCACUAAAGAUUUUGAAGGAGUGUUUUACACCUAGCUUAUUAUAUGAACAGUUGAAAAUUGUGCCAGUGAACACGAUUUAUUCAAGUAAAUCAGGAAUUUAGUAUUUGUGGACUUAUUAAAGUCAUAAUGGACUUCUUCGUAAAAUGUGAUUUUUAGAAGCUAAAGAGGCCAUUGGAGCAUUUCGUAAAAUUAAAUCCCAUAUGCAAGUUACAGUAAAACCUCUACAUGUGAAUACUUCUGGUAACUGAGUUACUGUGUCAUUUAUUUUAGACAAGCUUCAUGCAAUGCGUUGAUAAAAACAUACAUUGAAUGCUAUUCUUAUUUUGUGUGCCACAUAUAGAGGUUAUUUACUUCAAAUAACACGAAAAUCUAGGGAUUUCUAAAAAUAGGAAGUGUAUUCAUAAUAUUGCAUGAUAUAAAAUGCUUAAAACAUUUAAAUGAAUUAGUAAUGACUAUUGCAAUACAUACAAGAAUUGUCAUAAAUGCCAUAGAAGAGACUAGAGACAGGUGUGACCUGGCUUUGGUUUAUAACUAUUAUUUGUGAAAUAAAAGUUUUGAAAUUGUAGUUUUAUAUUCUUGGGUUAAAUUAGUGUACUUUGGCUUAUAUU
rnacentral:misc_RNA from 1 species